AGCUUAGUACUGUUACCAAUUAAAUUUAUUUUACACAAUUUUCAAUCACAGUUACAUACUACAAAUUUGUUACUUUACACUAACCAAAUCUUAGCAAUCGUUUUCUACACAAUAUUACCCAGGCCACGGGUAUAGGUAGGAUUCUCGAACGCCACAUUGCCAUUACCGCCCGCCUUGCCAUGAUGGGAGCGAUGACGACGAUAGAAGACAAUGGCGGCUGCCGCUAAGAGGAUGGCCAAAAUGCUUGCCACAAUGCCGCUGAUUGUGCCAACGGCGCUGGAAUAGCUGCUGGUGGCCGAGGUGACUUGCUGUUCGCCCAGGGUGAAUCUAAUCGGAUCGCACACAGUCGAGUUGAUUCGAAAGUUCACCCACCGUAUGUAUUGCCAGCCUUUACCACCAGCUCGUACAGCACGUCCUUCUUCAGCCCAUUAAUGCUUAUUGUUGUGUCCUUUACGUCGAUGCGUUGAAUUUCCACAGCGCCAGCUAUUCUGUUGUUGUUGCUGUUGUUAUUGCUGUUGCCCAUACUUGUUGCAUUAUUCAUGGAGGCGAGUGUAUCCAGGGCAGGCUCCAUCGAAGAUUCGUUUGGCUGCGCCGCCGACAAUGGCGGCAGCAAGGCGGCCUCAUGUUUUCAGACCGUGUGCAUGGCGCCAUAUUAUGAGUGGUAAUAUUGUUGCAGGCGCAAAACUUGUCUGGAAUUUUAAUAAAUUUAAUGCGGACUGGCAUCUGGACCAACCCACCGCCCAACGCCCACUGCUGACUAUCCACCAUCCACCAGCUAGCAGCUAGCAGCCUCCAUCUGCUAUCCGCUGUGCACAAGAACCGAUCCGAGCUUGUGUGCGCAACCUUUGACGUUGACUAAGUGUAUUAAAGUGAGAUAAAAAUCUCAGCUUUAAUGGAUUUUGCGGUCUAUUAGUGCAGUCAGCAGCAGCAGCAGCGGGCACGCACGGACUGGUGGCGACUUCUGGCAUACAGAAUCGGCACAGGAGGGUAAUGAAUGUAUUGGCUUGUGAGGAAAAUGGAUGAGUUCAGUUCCGGCAAAGCAAUGAAAAUGUGUGUGUGGGCCGGACAUAGUUAAGAGAUUAAAUUUGAUAGGUCGGAAUGAAAUGAAAUGAAUUGAAUUGAAGAAACUUUGCCAGCUGGCCACUUACUUAAUGU